rnacentral:rRNA from 1 species
AUUGAACGCUGGCGGUAUGCUUUACACAUGCAAGUCGAACGGUAACAGGUUAAGCUGACGAGUGGCGAACGGGUGAGUAGUGCAUCGGAACGUGCCCGGUCGUGGGGGAUAACGCAGCGAAAGCUGCGCUAAUACCGCAUACGAUCUGAGGAUGAAAGCGGGGGACCGUAAGGCCUCGCGCGAUCGGAGCGGCCGAUGUCAGAUUAGGUAGUUGGUGGGGUAAAGGCUCACCAAGCCGACGAUCUGUAGCUGGUCUGAGAGGACGACCAGCCACACUGGGACUGAGACACGGCCCAGACUCCUACGGGAGGCAGCAGUGGGGAAUUUUGGACAAUGGGCGCAAGCCUGAUCCAGCAAUGCCGCGUGCAGGAAGAAGGCCUUCGGGUUGUAAACUGCUUUUGUACGGAGCGAAAAGGCUCUCUCUAAUACAGGGGGCUCAUGACGGUACCGUAAGAAUAAGCACCGGCUAACUACGUGCCAGCCGCCGCGGUAA